GGGGACGACCGGCUUUGACAGAAAAGCAGAUCUUUAAAAUCUCAAGCAGAAGUUUGUGCAAACAGCACUUCUAUAAAACAACUGUAAGUGCCAGGUAUGCAACACUGGUAGGCUUAAAACUAAAUGCCAAAACAAAUAGCAUUUCAGCAAAGCUUCGAACCGCUUAUGAGGAAUUUAAGCUUGGUCUUAAUGCACUUAAAGCAGGAGUUAGCUUUGUGUAUGCAUAACUCGUAAGAGAAGUGCAUAGGUCUAUGAGAUUUUCUCUUGGUGAGAUUCCAUAGGCGUAACUUAAGCCAAGAUGCAGACUUUACCGGGGAGUUCUUGCUCGUAAAGUCGAAGAAGUUCCAAGAACUCGGCGAGUAGUGCUUUUGCCUGUUUUUAUUCUACUCAUCGUUAAAAGUUAAAUAGGAUAAGCUUGUAGAAGGUUUUAAGGAUACUUUUUUGGACGUGGGUUCGAUUCCCACCGUCUCCAUAA
rnacentral:tmRNA from 1 species